GGCUAGGGUUUGGGUUAGGAUUACAGUUAGGGCUUGCUUUUGGUUUAAGUAAUAGUCUUGGAAUUUAAGUUUCUGUGUUUUGGAGUGUGAGUGUAAUUAUUAUGGUUAGGUUUCAGGUUCAUUAUAGGGUUCAAAUUUUUGUAGCUGAGUUUUGGAUUGUAGAUAUGAAUAUUUGUUUUUGAGAUCAUGUUAGGGUAAGUGUAACAGUGUUGGAAUUCUGGAACCAGACUAUUGGAGUAUGUGAAGUAUGUUUAGUAUUAGGGUUAGAGUUAUGGUUAAGGUUAGAGUUAGGGUAAGGGUUAGUUUUAGGAUGAGGUUUAGGAUUCAAAUUCAUGUGCCUCAGCUUUGGAGUUUGGGUUUUAUUGUUGGGCUUAGGGUUUGUGUUAUUGUAAGAGUUUAAUAUAGUGUUGGCAUUCACAUACCUGAAUAUUGCAGUGUGGGUAUCAUGGUUAGUUUUUGGGUUAGUGUUAGGUUUAUGUUUAUGGAUAUAUUUAGAGUUCAAGUACCUGAUGGUUGUAGUGUGAGUAUGAAGAUUAGAGUUAGGGUUAGUAUUAUGGUGAGGCACGUUGUUUGAUUUCAAGAACCUGAGCAUUGGAGUGCAGCUAUGAUGUGUAGUGUUAUGGUUUGGGUUUGGGGUAAUAUUGGGGUUAUGGUAAGGGUUAGGGACAUGGUUGAAAUUCAAAUACCUGAUUAUUGGCAUGUGAGUAUGAUGGUUAGGGUUAGGACUACUUAAGGGGUUAGGUAUGUUUUUUUUAUUUGGAUAACCUUAGUAUUACCCUGUGCAUACGACUGUUAGUGUUAUUUCUAGGGCUAGGGUUAGCAUUAGGGUUAGGCCUUAGGUUUAGGGUUGGUGUUGGUGUCAGUAAUAGUCUUGGGUUUAAGUUUCUAUAAAUUAGAGUGUGAAUAUGAUGAUUAGAGUUAGGUUUAGGGUUCAAAUUCAUGUACUUGAGUUUUGGAGUGUUGAUAUGAAUGUUAGUUUUUGAGUUCAUGUUAGGGUAAGGGUUAAAGAUACUGAUCAAAUUUAGGCAGCUGACUAUUGGAGGGUGUGGAUUAUGCUUAGUGUUAUGGUGAACAUUAGGUUUAGGGUUAGUGUUAGGGUAAGAGAUCUGUUUGAAAUUCAAGUACCUGAUUAUUGAAGUGUGAGUAUGAUGGUUAGGGUUAGGAUUAGUGUUAGGGUUAGGUAUAUGUUUAGAUUUGAAGGUCCUCAGUAAUGAAUUGUGGCUAUUACUGAUAGUGUUAGGUUUAGAGUUUUAGACAGGGUUAUGUUUGGGGUAAGUGAUAGUCUUACAAUUGAAGUACCUGUGAUUGGGGUGUGGGUUUGAUUGUUACUGUUCGCUUUAGUUUUAGGGUUAGGUUUAGGGAUUGUGUCAGAAUUCAACCACCUCUGUAGUGUAUUAAUGGAUAUGAUGGUUAGGGUUAGGGUUAGGUUCAGGGUUCAAAUUCAUAUACCUGAGGGUUUUUUUUUUUUUGGUUUGUUACCAGGGAUCAAACUCAGAACCUUGUGCUUGCAAGGCAGGUGGUGGAACCACUGAACUAAAUCCCCAGCCCCUACCUGAGUUUUGAAGUGUGGGUAUGAAUGUUAGUUUUUGAGUUCAAGUUAGUGUAAGGGUUACAGAUGGUGUUUAAAUUCAGGUCCCUGAUUAUUGAAGUGGGGGUGUUAUGGUUAGUGACAGGGUCAGUGUUAGGGUUAAGGUUGGUGUUGGAAUUCAACUACCUGGUUAUUUGAGUGUGAGCAUGAUAGUAAGGGUUAUGAUUAGUGUUAGGGAUUGGUAUCCUGUUGGAUUUCGAUACAGAGCAUUUUAGUGUGGCUGACUGCUAGCAUUUAGGGAUAGGGUUAGGUUUAGGGUUAUAUUAAAGGUUCAGUUCAGGAAUAGUGUCAGGAUUUAAAAAUCCUAGUAUUGUAGUAGUAUGGUUUUGAAAGUUAGUGUAAAUGUCAAUUUUAGCAUUAGGGUUAGGGAUAGUGUAGAAAUACAAAUACUUGGGUAUUAGAUUGUGGGUAUGAGGGUUACAGUUAGGGCUAUGUUUAAGAUUAUUUUUAGGGUUCAAAUUCAUGUGAAUUGGCUUUGGAGUUUGAGUGUGAUUGUUAGGCUUAGUAUUCCUGUUAUUGUAAGGGCUUUGAAUAGUGUUGGCAUUCACAUACCUACCUGUUGGAAUGUGGAAAUCAUGGUUUGUGUUAGGGUUAGGGUUAGGGUUAGGGUUUGGGAUAUGGAUUUUGAACAUGAUGGUUAGGGUCAGGCUUAGGUUUAUGGUUCAAAUUCAUUUACCUGAGUAUUUGAGUGUGGAUAUGAAUGUUAGUUUUUGAGGUCCUGUCAGGAUAAGGCUUACAAAUAGUGUUGGAAUUUAUAUACCUGCCUAUUGGAGUGUGUGAAUUAUGUUUAGUGUUAGGGUUAUGGUGAGGGUUAAGGUUAGAGAUACGGUAAAUUAGGUAUGAAUUACAACCAUAUACCUAAUUUUUGUAGUAUGAGUAUGAAUGUUAGUAACAGGUUUAGAGUUAGGGUGAGGUAAAAUGUUUGGUUUAAAUUACCUGAUCAUGCAAUGUGGCUAUGAUGCGUAGGGUUAGGGUUUUUAGGGUUAGGAAUAUGGUGGAAUAUCAAGUACCUGAUUAUUUUAGUGUAAAUAUGAACACUAGGGUUAGAUAUAGUGUUAUUGUGAGGUACAUUGUUCAAUUUCAAUUAGCUGAGCAUUACAAUGUUUCUAUGACAGGUAGUUUUAGGUUUUCCAUUCAGAUUAGGGUUGGGGUUAGCCUGAGGGUUAGGGAUAUGGUUGGAAUACAAUUACCUGAUUAUUGGAGUGUGAGUAUGAUGGUUAGGGAUUAGGAUUAGUUUAAAGGUUACAUAUAGUUUUGGAUUUGAAGAACCUGAAUAUUACCCUGUGUAUAUGAGUUGUAGAUUUAGUGUUAGCUUUUGGGUUAUGGUUGGUGUUGGGUUCAGGGUUAUGAAUUCAUAGUCUUGGAAUUUAAGUCCCUAUAUAAUGGUUAGGGUUAAGUUUAGUGUUAAGGUGAGGUACCAUGUGGGAUUUCAAGUACUUGAGCAUUGCAAUGUGGCUAUGUUGGGUAGAGUUAGGGUUAGGGUUUUGGUUAGAGUUAGGUUCAGGGUUACAUUCAGGGGUUCAAAUACAUACACCUGAGUUUUGAAGUGUGGGUAUGAAUGUUAGUUUUUGGGUUAGUGUUAGGGUAAGAAUUACAGAUAGUGUUGAAAUUCAGGUAACUAAUUAUUGAAGUGUGGCUAUUAUGGUUAGUGAUAGGGUCAGUGUUAAGGUUAAGGAUAGUUUUGGGAUUCAAGUACCUCAUUAUUUGAGUGUGACCAUGAUGGUAAGGGUUAUGAUUAGUGUUAGGGAUUUGUAUCCUGUUGGGUUUCAAUACAUAAGCAUUUCAGCAUGGUUAAGCCUGCUAGUGUUAGAGUUAGGGUUAGGGUUAGGGUCAGAUUUAGGGUUCCAUUUAGGAAUAGUGUCAGAAUUUAAGCAUCUCUGUGUUGAUUUGAAAGUUAUUGUUAAUGUUAGUUUUAGGAUUUUGGUUAGGGAUAGUGUAGAAAUACAAGUACCUGGGUAUUGGAUUGUGGGUAUGAGGGUUAGAGUUAGGGUUAGGGUUAAGUUUAGAGUUCAAAUUCAUCUACCUGAGUUUUGAGUGUGGUUUUGAUUGUUAGUUUUUGGGUUAGUGUUAGGGUAAGGGUUACAGGUAGUGUCAUAAUGCAGGCACCUGACUAUUGGAGUGUGUGAAAUAUGUUUAGUAUUAGGGCUAGGGUUAGGGUUAGAGAUAGGGCAAGGGAACAGGUUGGAAUUCAAGUACCUUAUUAUUGCAGUUUGAGUAUGAAUGUUAGUGUUAGGUUUAGUGUUAGGGUGAGGUACAGUGUUGGAUUUCAAGUAUCAGAGCAUUUCAAUGUGACUAUGAUGAGUAGUGUUAGGGGUAGAGUUAGGUGUAGGGUUAGGUUUGGGAUAUGGUUGGAAUUCAAGUUGAUUACUGGAGUGUGAGUAUGAUGGUUAGGGGUAGGACUAGUUUUAGUGUUAGGUAUAUUUUUGGAUUUGAAGAAACUGUAAUGCAGUGUGACUAUUAUUGAUACUGUUAGCUUUAGGGUUAGGGUUUGGGUUGAGGUUAGGGUUGGGGUAAGUGAUAUUCUUGGAAUUUAAGUGCCUGUUUAUUGGUGCAUUGGUCUGAUAGUUGGUAUUAGCAUUACUUUUUGGAAUAGUGUAGGAAUUCAACUACCUGUAUGUUGGAUUGUGGAUAUAAUGGUUAAUCUCAGGGUUAAGUUUAGGGUUAGGUUUUGGGUUGAAAUUCAUAUACCUGAGUUUUGCAGUGUGGAUAUGAAUGUUAGCUUUGGGUUUGUGUUAAGGUAAGAGUUACAUAUAGUUAUGGAAAUCUGGUACUUGAAUAUUGGCAUAUGGGUAUUAUGGUUAGUGUUAGCGUCAGUGUUAGGGUUGAGGAUAGUGUUGAAAUUCAAGUACCUGAUUAUUUGAGUGUGAGCAUGAUAGUCAGGGUUAACGUUAGUGUUACAGAUUGGUAUCACGUUGGAUUUCAAUAUAUGAGCAUUCCAGUGUAGCUAUGGUUGGUAGGGUUAGGGUUAGCAUUAUUGUUAGUUUUCAGGUUAGGAAUAGUUUCAGAAUUUAAGAAUCUGUGUAUUGAAGUGUGGUUUUGAAAGUUAGUGUUAACAUUAGUUUUAGGAUUAGGAUUAAUGGUAGUGUAGAAAUAUAAGUGCCUGGAUAUUGUAUUGUGGGUAUGUGGGUUAGAGUUAGGGUUAGGGUUAGGGUUAGGGUUAGGGUUUGGUUUAGGAUUUAAAUUCAUGUACUUCCAUUUUUGAAUUUGGUUUGAUUCUUUGUGUGUGUGUGUGUGUGCGCGUGUGCAUUCAUUAUUUUACUGUCCGUUGUUUUAACUUGACUCAUACAAGAUCCACGAGAGCACUGUACUCCUGGCAAUUAUUACAUAUGUUAGAACAUGGAUUUUCACUGUAGACAACAUUUAACACCAGUCUAUGGGGUACUGCAUUGUUUUUUACAAAG
rnacentral:lncRNA from 1 species